CCUACGGGAGGCAGCAGUAGGGAAUCUUCCACAAUGGGCGAAAGCCUGAUGGAGCAACGCCGCGUGGGUGAAGAAGGUCUUCGGAUCGUAAAACCCUGUUGUUAGAGAAGAAAGUGCGUGAGCGUAACUGUUCACGUUUCGACGGUAUCUAACCAGCAAGCCACGGCUAACUACGUGCCAGCAGCCGCGGUAAUACGUAGGUGGCAAGCGUUAUACGGAUUUAUUGGGCGUAAAGGGUACGCAGGCGGUCUUUUAAGUCUGAUGUGAAAGCCUUCGGCUUAACCGGAGUAGUGCAUUGGAAACUGGGGGACGUGAGUGCAGAAGAGGAGAGUGGAACUCCAUGUGUAGCGGUGAAAUGCGUAGAUAGAUGGAAGAACACCAGUGGCGAAAGCGGCACUCUGGUCUGUAACUGACGCUGAGGUUCGAAAGCGUGGGUAGCAAACAGGAUUAGAUACCCGUGUAGUC
rnacentral:rRNA from 1 species